ensembl:lncRNA
CGCAUUUAAUGCAUGUCCAAUGUAUUCUUUGUUCAAUAAAACACCCUGACCCUGGUUGACGUGAAACCUCAAAAGAACAUCUAUUUUCUAUUCUCACACUCGAUAACAAAACUCCUUCAGUGACGUCAGCUUUAUUAGUUACAAAUGACGCAGAUUUAUUCGACCUGCAGUUAACAGUUAAAAAGUACAUUGUAAAAAUAGUUGUUGAUUGUUUUUUUCAUACCGUAAAUGGAAAAAAGAAUGGUCUCAGUCUAAUGACGGACACAAAGCACUUCUUUGUCUUCUCUUUGAUGUAUAACAAAAAACGUUUAAGCCACCGUGUAAAGCUUUUAAAAGCAAUUGCAUGAUUCCCUUUCUGAGUCAUAAUUGUAGGUCAUUCAUGCAGGUGUCAGUAGUUCAGUUUUUCCACACAUCCACAAAAACAUACAUUCAGUUCUAAUUUAUGACUCAUUAUAACUCUGUGAUACUCUGGUUUAUAGCUCAUUAUAACUCAGUGAUGCUCUGGUUUAUAACACAUUAUAACUCUCAGUGAUACUCUGGUUUAUAACACAUUAUAACUCUCAGUGAUACUCUGGUUUAUAACACAUUAUAACUCUCAGUGAUACUCUGGUUUAUAGCUCAUUAUAACUCAGUGAUACUCUGGUUUAUAACACAUUAUAACUCUCAGUGAUACUCUGGUUUAUAACACAUUAUAACUCUCAGUGAUACUCUGGUUUAUAACACAUUAUAACUCUCAGUGAUACUCUGGUUUAUAACACAUUAUAACUCAGUGAUACUCUGGUUUAUAGCUCAUUAUAACUCAGUGAUACUGUGGUUUAUAACUCAUAACUCAGUGAUACUCUGGUUUUGUCUGAGAAAUAAACAACACCAAACUAAUACAAAACACAAUGAACAACAUCAAUAAUUCAACCCUUCAGCAAAAGUAAAAGCACCAUUGAUAGCAAACCAUCCCUUUUACCAUCCCUCUACUAGCAGUGUAGUGUUGUUUUGUGACAAUGGCCAUAAGUGUAGGCUAUACAGCACAAACUGAUCUGGGACCCAGGGUUAACAAAAUGGGGGGCCUGAAGUCUUUGGGAUUGUGUCAAACCACGCUUGCUAAGGCAGGAGAAAUGAGUCAUAGCAUUAUUGGUUACAGCAGACUGAUUGGUUACAUUGAGAAAAAAAGUCCCUGAUUCUAUCAUAUAUAACAUAUAGCAUUCAAAGCUAUAGCAUUGAAUACAUAUAUUAAAUUCAACAUAUUGCAUUGAAUACAUAUAUUAAACUCAACAUAUAGCAUUGAAUACAUACGGUAUUCAAGCUCACAAGGAAAAGGGGGUACGUUAUCAUCAUAGUCCACCAUUAAGGUCGUCCCUAAACAGGUUCCAUCUUUGUCGUCACUUGCACUGUAGUAUAGUUCAUCCAACUCCAUGUGUGCGUAAGUAGGAAGUAGCCCAAGGAGCAAUGUUUUCAGUUGUACAGACCAGUCUUUGACCACUGAAGUGAUCAGAUACGUUUCCAGCCGCUUGGCACAAGGAGAGAAAGAGACAUUGUAUCUGUUCCUUUUCUUCUUUUUUUUAGAUUGUCAUGUCUGCAAAGUCUGGUCGUGUGAACCCUUUCUGUAAAACACAAACAUGAGAGACAUUUUGUCAGGGCAUAUAUCAAAGUAUGUAUAAUACUGUUAGCUUUGUCCCAGAUUUACUUGUCCAGAAGGACAAUGACAACUGUGUAUAAGUCUUGAAUUAGAAAGAAAAAAAAAUGUAUUUUUGUCAACUCCGUAAAACAUUAACUCUGUCAGAGUGCUGAAAGAUCUGAUAGAAUUUUUAUGUUUUCAUUUUCCAUAUUUUACAAAUGUUUGUAUUGAACUUUAAUUUUUAGAGGCAAAAAUUUGAGGUCUGUGUUGAGUAUUUGUUGUUAACUCAAUCACUGACUAACCGCCCUCAGAGGAAAACAAAGACCUAAAAACUCUCUUUUGGUAUUUGUUUCAUUAGUCCAUUGUUGCAAAACCUGAUCUGGGACCAGGCUAACAUACUGAUCUCGACCAGGCUAAAAUACUAACAUACUGAUCUGGGACCAGGCUAACAUACUAACAUACUGAUCUGGGACCAGGCUAACAUACUGAUCUGGGACCAGGCUAACAUACUGAUCUGGGACCAGGCUAACAUACUGAUCUGGGACCAGGCUAACAUACUGAUCUGGGACCAGGCUAACAUACUGAUCUGGGACCAGGCUAACAUACUGAUCCGGGACCAGGCUAACAUACUGAUCCGGGACCAGGCUAACAUACUGAUCUGGGACCAGGCUAACAUACUGAUCUGGACCAGGCUAACAUACUGAUCUGGGACCAGGCUAACAUACUGAUCUGGAACCAGGCUGACAUACUGAUCUGGGAUACAGGCUAACAUACUGAUCUGGGACCAGGCUAACAUACUAACAUACUGAUCUAGGACCAGGCUAACAUACUAACAUACUGAUCUGGGACCAGGCUAACAUACUGAUCUGGGACCAGGCUAACAUACUGAUCUGGGACCAGGCUAAUAUCCUGAUCUGGGAACAGGCUAACAUACUGAUCUGGGACCAGGCUAACAUAUACUAAUAUACUGAUCUGGGAACAGGGUAAUAUCGUGAUCUGGGACCAGGCUAAUAUCCUGAUCUGGGACCAGGCUAACAUACUGAUCUGGGACCAGUCUAACAUACUAAUAUACUGAUCUGGGAACAGGCUAACAUACUGAUCUGGGACCAGGCUAACAUACUAAUAUACUGAUCUGGGAACAGGGUAAUAUCUUGAUCUGGGACCAGGCUAACAUACUGAUCUGGGACCAGGCUAACAUACUGAUCUGGGACCAGGCUAACAUACUGAUCUGGGACCAGGCUAACAUACUGAUCUGGGACCAGGCUAACAUACUGUGUGUCUGUGAACAUUGGACCUCAGAAAAG